GCUUAGAGUUUGAUCCUGGCUCAGAACGAACGCUGGCGGCAGGCCUAAUACAUGCAAGUCGAACGCCCCUUCGGGGGAGUGGCGGACGGGUGAGUAACGCGUGGGAACCUACCCAGGAGUUCGGAAUAACUCAUGGAAACGUGAGCUAAUACCGAAUACGCCCUACGGGGGAAAGUUUUUCGCUCUUGGAUGGGCCCGCGUCGGAUUAGCUAGUUGGUGGGGUAAAAGCCUACCAAGGCGACGAUCCGUAGCUGGUCUGAGAGGAUGAUCAGCCACACUGGGACUGAGACACGGCCCAGACUCCUACGGGAGGCAGCAGUAGGGAAUAUUGGACAAUGGGCGCAAGCCUGAUCCAGCCAUGCCGCGUGGAUGACGAAGGCCUUAGGGUUGUAAAAUCCUUUCGCUAGGGAAGAUAAUGACGGUACCUAGUAAAGAAGCCCCGGCUAAUUUCGUGCCAGCAGCCGCGGUAAUACGAAAGGGGCUAGCGUUGUUCGGAAUUACUGGGCGUAAAGCGGGUGUAGGCGGAUUGGUCAGUUGGGGGUGAAAGCCCGGGGCUCAACCUCGGAACUGCCUUCAAUACUGCCAGUCUUGAGUAAGC
rnacentral:rRNA from 1 species